GUCCGGGUGGUGAAAUUGGUAGACACGCUACUUUGAGGGGGUAGUGGCCGAAAGGCUGUGGGAGUUCGAAUCUCCUCUCGGACA
rnacentral:tRNA from 1 species